UGGUGAGAUAUAAUGUAUGUGUGUGUAUCUCUACAGGUAUGUCAUAUGGCUCACCUGUAGAUGAAAGACUAAAGCCAGGUAAGACUUCAGUGGAUUUGACUUUUCCUAUGUGUCCAGGGCAACAUUUCGUCGGCUAAAGUGGGGCCGGAGAGCAGAGGAUUGUUCUGUGUGUCCUGCUGGCUACUUCUGUCCUCAUCCGGCCACAAUCAAUCCAAAGUUUGUGGAACAGGAAGUUUUUCUGUAAGCCGGAUAGCUAAUUCUAUUCUAAUGCAUGUUGUACCAUUGUAAUAAAUUAUUUCACCAUUUCAUUGAUCUGUCUCCCUCUCUUCUGGCUCUCUGUCUUGCUCUUUUUCGUUAGGAUGAGGGGUCAUUGGAGUGUCAGCCAUGUUUGCCGGGUCACUACUGCAGCAAUGAGACCACCAGUGAAGAGGCCAUGCUCAGAGUAAUGGUCUGCCCCCCAGGUUUCCUCUGCUCACAGGGCCUGGAUCGAGAACCCCAGCGCUCAGCGGUAUUCUGCCCAAUAGGCUUUUACUGUCCUGAUGGAAGUGUUGUAAGUAUCAUUUCAAGGGUCAGAAACAUUACGAACAUCAUUGAUCAUCAUGUCAGAUGAUCAAUGGCACGAAACAUAGCAAUUAUUUCUUUUCUAUUAUUUAUGCCCUACUCAGGAUCCUAAUCCUGUUCCGUGCCCCAAAGGAACCUAUAGUCUACAGCCAAGACUACGUGACCCUUCAGACUGCACAGAGUGUCCAGAGGGCAAAUACUGUUACACAGAGAAUCCCCAGGAAGAGCCCAUUAACCCCCCGACCACCACCACCACCACCAAAAAAAAAAAAAAAAAAUACAAUGUAAUGUAUGCAGUGUAAUGAAUGGUGACCACAGAUUUGUUAGGUCCCCAUCCACUUUCAUAGCAUGGAAAAAAGCAGUUUGGGGUGCACUUUCUCUUUGACUUGUUUAUUGUUCCAAUCAGACAGGAAACUGUCCUGAUGGAUACUUCUGUCCUCCUAGCACCAGACAUCCAAAUUCAUUUCCAUGCCAGUCUGGCUUCUUCAGGAAUGACUCGUAUGGACAAACUUGUGUGGAAUGUCCUCCUGGUCACUACUGUUCCACUCUGGCCACACACACUCUUACAGUCUGUCCACAGGUUCUUCCUGAUGGUCAUGAAGGUGGUGUGUGUCCUGCUGGAAGUUUCUGCCCACCAGGCUCAGCUCACCCACAGUCCUGCCCUUCAGGGACCUACAGUAACAGCACGGGUCUUCAACAUGCAGGGCAGUGUGUCCGCUGUCCUCCAGUGGUAUGACUGCAAGAGCAAUAAUGUAUUUCUUCUGUGGAACACAAGAGAAGAUAUUUUGAAGAAUGCUAGCAACCAAACUGUUUUGGUUGCCAUUGACUUCCACAGUAUUGACAAAAAAGAGAAAUUUUUCAAACAGGUUUGA
ensembl:lncRNA